GCAUGAGUUUGACUAAACUGUGGGAGGCAGUGGAAGACAAUAGUGCCUGGCGUGCUCUGGUCCAUGGGGUCACGAAGAGUCGGACACGACUAAACAACUAAACAACAACAACAAAAUGGAAAGUAUGCAGCCUUCCCGGCCCCCCCCAAGGAGAUGGGGGGGGACUGCCUUGCCAGCGGUGUCCAUAAUUCACCCCCAGAUUCGAAAGAAGGGGGUGCGGACACUUGGCACAAGCCCUCGGGUGAAGUCAGCUCUUCCUGACGCUGUCUCCAAUCAGCGCACUGGUUCGCUUUAGCUCGAAAUAUAUAAUUGUAAAUAUAUAAUUGGAAAGAAGCUAAAGCACAUACAUCAAGCAAAGAUCGGGAGUAAAGACUGCUGAUUAAUGGAUCUCUGUGAGCGGAGCGACGGGCGGGACAAAUAAAUCAAGUGAUGAAUCACCAUUAAGAGACUGGUAUGUUUGGAGUGAAACGGAAAGGGGGUGGAGGAAAAAACUUUUUUUUUUUUGCCUUAUGUGAGUAUUAAUAACCCUCCACCCCAGAGAGAAGAAUCGUUGCAAUUUAUUAAUCACAAGCAGGAAUUCAAGAACUGUGUGGAGUGAAUUAUUGAUCAAAGAGAGGAUUGGUAAACAUCGGAGAAUGGAGGAAAGUUUUAUGACGCAGUUUUAAAUGGCGUCUCGCCAAGACAGGCUUGCCUAAGAAGGACGGGGGGGGGAGGACCAGGGUCAUCGGAGUGUGAAUGGUGAUUGGAAUGUGAUCUAGACCUGGCAGAGCCCUCUGAGAUAUGCUUGGCAAGCCUGGGAAAAUCAACGGACAGGCUGAGGGAAAGUUUUUUACGGAGGUGUGGAAAUGGCGUCUGUCCUUAUGUGAUAUGAUUUUUGGAGAGUAUAAAACCCACACAGAGGAUGUUUGUUUUCAACCCGCUUGUGAAGUUUAUCAGAGAUCGCAAAGAAAGGAAUAUAUGAUAACAACAAGCAGAUGAGGAAAGUAAUAAAGAGACUAUCUGGAAAGAACUGGAUAGAACUGUCUAAUUAAAGCAGCAAUAUAAGUGAUGCUUGGACCCCUGUUCGGAGCUUGAAAUAUGGGUACCCCCAACAAAAAUUUAAAAAUCUGGCUGUAUAAUUUGGAACUAAUGUGAUUUGGAAAUAAUGUGAUUUGAUUGGCCUGCUAAUAAAAAUUAUAUUUAAAAAAAAGACAUCCUACAAGCGACUGGUUAUGAAGGGCAAUGCAGUGAACGCCGUUUGUUAUGGUGAAAAGAGCAUGUGACCUGGCCUGCUGUGGUAUGAAGACAGCCUCAAAGUCCAUAAGAAAGUUGUUAUCAGCACAAAAGGAGAGGCCAUUUGCACAGCCAGUACCUUGAUGACAACUGCAGUACUUGCAGUCAUGGAGUUAUGCCAAAAAUCAAGCAUGUGAUAAUGGAAAAGACACCUACGCUCACAAGUAGGGGCUUGUCCCGAAAGCUGCCCAGAAGACGAUGAUGAUUAAGGCGAGUCUUACUGGACACUCACAGCAAGCCCCAUGAGAAAAAUCCCCAGGCCUGGAAGUAUAACUAUGUGGGUUGCUGGAAAGGAAAGUGUAAAAGAAGUCGUCCCAGUGGAGCCAGACAAAGAAGGUCAUGGAGAGUGUUGGGGAACACGGAGCAGUAGCCUCAUCUCCCUCAGACUCUUCAGAGCUACAAGCAGAAAUCAAGGAAGAAGAAGAAAGAGACGAUAGACUGAGAGCUUGCUGAGAGUGGCGGGAAGCUAGUUGAAAUGGACAGUGGCACAAAUAAGAAGAAGAAGAAGAAGAAACAGCUCAGAGUAACCUGUGAGAACCACCCUGACCAGGCAGCCUGAACCAGCCUGAGGAAGAGGAGUCUGAAAGCCCAAUCCCUUGCAAGUGC